AAGUGCCAGAGUUUUGCUCAGAGUGAUGACAGCCAGCGAGGCCUGCUGGGACAGCGCUCGGGCCGCGGAGCGGGCUCGGCACUCACCGCCUGCAGGGAGCACAAAGGCUCAGGGUUACCACUUAAACACCGGCAUUUUCUCUCCAUCGUUCCUACACACACGGGGAUUUGCAGAGCUGUUGCUGAACAAUAGGUCUCAGGAUAUAAAAGACAUGCUCGGAAGUUACCCCUUUUUAAGCACGUUAAGGAAAGAGACUUGGAUUUUUUUGCAUUUGCUUCCCUUUUUCUCUGCUUCCAGAAAUGCUUUGUUACAUUGA
rnacentral:lncRNA from 1 species